CCUACGGGAGGCAGCAGUGGGGAAUAUUGCGCAAUGGGCGCAAGCCUGACGCAGCGACGCCGCGUGAGGGAUGAAGGUCUUCGGAUCGUAAAACUCUGUUAGCAGGGAAGAACGGUCACUGUGCUAAUCAGUAGUGCAUUGACGGUACCUGCCCAGGAAGCACCGGCUAACUCCGUGCCAGCAGCCGCGGUAAUACGGAGGUUGCGAGCGUUAAUCGGAUUUACUGGGCGUAAAGCGCUCGUAGGCGGUAGCUCAAGUCCAGGGUGAAAGCCCCGGGCUCAACGUGGGAAGUGCCUUUGAAACUGGCAAACUUGAGUGUAGGAGAGGAGAGUGGAAGUCCAGGUGUAGGAGUGAAAUGCGUAGAUAUCUGGAGGAACAUCAGUGGCGAAGGCGACUAUCUGGCACAUAACUGACGCUGAGGAGCGAAAGCGUGGGUAGCAAACAGGAUUAGAUACCCCUGUAGUC
rnacentral:rRNA from 1 species